GCUGGCGUAGCUCAAUGGUAGAGCAACUGAUUUGUAAUCAGUAGGUUGCAGGUUCAAGUCCAGUCGCCAGCUCCA
rnacentral:tRNA from 1 species